UGAAACCGCACUGUGUACUCAAAAGCAACACACACACAGAGGCUAGAUUCAGAUCAGCGAUAAUAUCCUUAGUCAGUACUUAAGCUGAAGCCUAUUGCACCAAAACGCAUGGUCGCAGAUGUAAUUUUUAUAGGAAACACCUCUAGGAAGAGGCGCAAAGCUGGAUCUUCAGCGAUAGCAACGACAGCAACUGCACGCUGCGGGGUUUGAUCUGCUAAAAAGAGAAACCAGGAUAAGGGUGAAGGGCUGUUGGCUUCUCCGACCUGAAAGUCAAAGGGGGUCGUGUGCUGCCCACACCUCAAAACACCCAGGGGUUACUUUUUUUCUUGCAUUUGCAUUGGCAAACUGCUUUGAAGAGAAAGUUUGCUUCAGUUGUUUGGCAUCGCGAGGGCUGUUGCAGCUUCUGAAGAUACGAAGAUUUCCAGAACAAACUCUCUGCUCGGAUCACUGAUGUAAAAAUACAAGCCUUUCCACCAGCCUGGUGGCCCCUACACCACCUCUGGUGCCGGCCCUGAGGGAUUUGCUCUAUGGGAGUGGAAGAGCAGCAAGGAGCGGCUCGAUGAGCUCAAAGAGUCCUUCUGCAGACCUGCAGGUGGA